rnacentral:rRNA from 1 species
AUUGAACGCUGGCGGCAGGCCUAACACAUGCAAGUCGAGCGAGCGGCGGACGGGUGAGUAAUGCCUGGGAAUUGCCCAGUCGAGGGGGAUAACAGUUGGAAACGACUGAUAAUACCGCAUACGAUUGGAUUGCUCCGGUGGGAUUAGCUAGUUGGUGAGGUAAUGGCUCACAAAGGCGACGAUCCCUAGCUGGUCUGAGAGGGUGAGUGGCCACACUGGAACUGAGACACGGUCCAGACUCCUACGGGAGGCAGCAGUGGGGCAGAUUGCACAAUUGGGGAAACCCUGAUUCAGCUAUGCCGCGUGUGUGAAGAAGGCCUUCGGGUUGUAAAGCACUGUCGUCGGGGAGGCGUUACUCGCAGAAGAAGCACCGGCUAACGCCGUGCCAGCAGCCGCGGUAAUAC